GCUAUUAGGGAUUGAUAGCGUUCUCUGUGUAAGUGUGUAUACAGAGAUAGCUGUCAGUCACUGAUAGCUGUACAUGGGGGAGGUGUUAUCAGUCACUGAUAGCAUUCUCUGUGUAAGUGUGUAUACAGAGAUAGCUGUCACAUUACAGGGAGGUGUUAUCAGUGAUUGAUAGCAUUCUCUGUG